rnacentral:ncRNA from 1 species
CGACCCCAUGGAUUAAAAGGGAACCGGGUGAGAGUCCCGGACAGUCCCGCUGCUGUGAAGCUCCGCCAACCAUUCGGAAUUCUGUACCACUGAUCUAAGGAUCGGGAAGGUUCCGGACGGGGAGUCAGUCAGAAGACCUGCCAUCAAAUUA